UAAACUACUCUCGGCAACGGAUAUCUCGGCUCUUGCAUCGAUGAAGAACGUAGCGAAAUGCGAUACUUGGUGUGAAUUGCAGAAUCCCGUGAACCAUCGAGUCUUUGAACGCAAGUUGCGCCUGAAGCCAUUAGGUUGAAGGCACGUCUGCCUGGGCGUCACGC
rnacentral:rRNA from 1 species